rnacentral:rRNA from 1 species
CUGGUUCGGCGUACUUGGCCCGCUCCGGUUUACGGGGUUGUGUGCCGGUGUGCGCCAUCCAUCCUUCGAGAAAUCAUUUCUGCCCUUCACUGGGUUGGAAGUGGAAUCUCGAUCUUUUACUUUGAAAAAAUUAGAGUGUUUAAAGCAGGCUUGCGCUAUGAAUACAUUAGCAUGGAAUAAUAAUUUAGGACUUUUGUCUUAUUUUGUUGGUUUCUAGGACUUAAGUAAUGAUUGAUAGGGACAGUUGGGGGUGCUAGUAUUCAGCGGCCAGAGGUGAAAUUCUUGGAUUCGCUGAAGACUAACUUAUGCGAAAGCAUUC